rnacentral:rRNA from 1 species
GAUGAACGCUCGCUACAGGCUUAACACAUGCAAGUCGAGGGGCAGCAUGAUUGAAGCUUGCUUCAAUCGAUGGCGACCGGCGCACGGGUGAGUAACACGUAUCCAACCUGCCGAUAACUCGGGGAUAGCCUUUCGAAAGAAAGAUUAAUACCCGAUAGUAUAGUAUUUCCGCAUGGUUUCACUAUUAAAGAACUUCGGUUAUCGAUGGGGAUGCGUUCCAUUAGAUAGUUGGCGGGGUAACGGCCCACCAAGUCAACGAUGGAUAGGGGUUCUGAGAGGAAGGUCCCCCACAUUGGAACUGAGACACGGUCCAAACUCCUACGGGAGGCAGCAGUGAGGAAUAUUGGUCAAGGGACGAGAGUCUGAACCAGCCAAGUAGCGUGAAGGAUGACUGCCCUAUGGGUGGUAAACUUCUUUUAUACGGGAAUAAAGUGGAGUAUGCAUACUCCUUUGUAUGUACCGUAUGAAUAAGGAUCGGCUAACUCCGUG